rnacentral:tRNA from 1 species
GCACCCGUAGCUCAGUUGGAUAGAGUGCACCCCUCCGAAGGGUGAGGCCACAGGUUCGACUCCUGUCGGGUGCGCCA